rnacentral:rRNA from 1 species
GAUGAACGCUGGCGGCGUGCCUAAUACAUGCAAGUCGAGCGAACAGACGAGGAGCUUGCUCCUCUGACGUUAGCGGCGGACGGGUGAGUAACACGUGGAUAACCUACCUAUAAGACUGGGAUAACUUCGGGAAACCGGAGCUAAUACCGGAUAAUAUAUUGAACCGCAUGGUUCAAUAGUGAAAGACGGUUUUGCUGUGACUUAUAGAUGGAUCCGCGCCGCAUUAGCUAGUUGGUAAGGUAACGGCUUACCAAGGCAACGCUGCGUAGCCGACCUGAGAGGGUGGUCGGACACACUAGACCUGAGCCACGGCCCAGACCACUAAGGGAGGCAGCAGUAGGGAAUCUGACGCAAUGGGCGAAAGCUUGACGGAGCAACGCCGCGUGAGUGAUAAAGGUCUUCGGCUCGUAAAACUCUGUUAUUAGGGAAGAACAAAUGUCUAAGUAACUAUGCACGUCUUGACGGUACCUAAUCAGAAAGCCACGGCUAACUCCGUG